rnacentral:tRNA from 2 species
AUUUAAAUAGUUUAAAAAAAAUAUUAGUUUGUGGGGCUAAAGAUAUAAAAGUUAUUUUAAAUA